GAUGAACGCUGGCGGCGUGCUUAACACAUGCAAGUCGAACGGGAAACCUUUUAUUGAAGCUUCGGCAGAUUUAGCUGGUUUCUAGUGGCGGACGGGUGAGUAACGCGUGGGUAACCUGCCUUAUACAGGGGGAUAACAGUCAGAAAUGGCUGCUAAUACCGCAUAAGCGCACAGAGCUGCAUGGCUCAGUGUGAAAAACUCCGGUGGUAUAAGAUGGACCCGCGUUGGAUUAGCUGGUUGGUGGGGUAACGGCCCACCAAGGCGACGAUCCAUAGCCGGCCUGAGAGGGGGAACGGACACAUUGGGACUGAGACACGGCCCAGACUCCUACGGGAGGCAGCAGUGGGGAAUAUUGCACAAUGGGGGAAACCCUGAUGCAGCGACGCCGCGUGAAGGAAGAAGUAUCUCGGUAUGUAAACUUCUAUCAGCAGGGAAGAUAAUGACGGUACCUGACUAAGAAGCCCCGGCUAACUACGUG
rnacentral:rRNA from 1 species